GCGAGCAGAGAAAGCGCGCGCACACAGAUUAUUCCGUCGGUUUCUCCAUGUUUGUCAGAAGAGUAAAAUCGUAGUUUAACACACACUAUCGCGCAUUUACCGUGAAGCGUUGGGAGGAUUGUUCUUUUUGGUUAGUGGCUCUCACGCUGUUGUUUUUCUUUCAUUUCAAAACGCCGAAGUGGAUUGACAGGGAGCUAGAAUCCACAGGUCUCCAUGUCUCUGUGAAGAAGUCCCGAUUCGCCAUGAAAACACCAUGCAUUCGGAGUAUCUGAGAAACUGGGGGCGGAUAUAACUGAAAAUCACACUGGAUUCUGAUUGAUAGAUAGCCUACUCUUGCGGAAGGCCCUAUCCUAGACACCGCCCUCUCGCUCGAUCUCCGAGUAUGAGAACUCUCACGGCGGCUCUGGUGCUUUCUGUCUCACUCCUAAUACUAUCAGUGCGGCUGAGUGUGUCGGUGUGUGUGGAUGGUGACUCGGACACAGAGGCCGUGCUGGGGAAUCCCAUGAAGCUCACCUGUAUCUCGUGCAUGAAGAGGGAGGACAUCAAAGCAGAGACGCGUGUCUUCUGGUCCUACAUCCAGGAUGGAGAGGAGAUCCCUAUCUUUGAGUAUGACAACGGCCCCAGAGAGCUGGAGAGCCCCCUGAAGGGUCGCCUCCAGUGGAGGGGCAGUAAGGACCUACAGGACCUCUCCCUCGGCAUCACCAACAUCACGCGCAAUGACUCAGGCACCUACCAGUGUGUGGUCUUCCGCCUUUUUGAGUUUGACUCCUUUACCCCCUCUGUCACAAUCACCAGAAUCAUCAAGCUAGAAGUCAAAGACAAAGCCAGUUUAGACCCGACGGCGCUGUACUCAGAGAUCAUGAUGUAUGUUCUACUGGUGUUCCUCACUCUCUGGCUGCUGGUGGAGAUGGUCUACUGCUACAGGAAGAUCUCCAAGUCAGAUGAGAUGGCGCAGGACGCCGUGACAGACUACCUUGCCGUCCCCUCUGAUAAAGACCCGUCGGGCCCAGCAGCGUCCGAGUAGAGCUGCUGGUCUCAUAUAAACACCCCCCACCGCAGCGCUACAGAACCACGGUACUCCUGAGACCAGCGGAGGGAGACAGAGGAGGAAAACCAACAACCUCGCCACCCUCUCCACCGCCGCACCACGACGAUCUCUGGCUCACUCUCCUCUCUCUCAGUGUCCCCGGAACGCCCCGCCUUUUUCAUCUCUCUCUCUCUCUCUCUCUCUCUCUCUCUCUUUUCCGCUCUGUUUGUCUCUGUGUCCCUCAGAGCUGGCUCAUUGUGACCUGACAAUAAUCUGAGUGCGUUUGUGUAAUAAUCUUGGUGCAUUUGUGUUUGCUAUUCGCUACCGCGGAUCACCAGACAUUCUGUGUUCAGAUUAACACCUUUUCUCCUAAUGGGAAAAACCACUUUUGAUAAAAAAAAAAAAAACAAUCUAAAUGCUUAAGUUUAAAGCUCCUGUAUAAUUGUUUGUUUUCUUAACGUUUUUAUAUAUCAAAAGCUUCAUUUCGUAAGCCUUUUGCAAUUUUAUUACUGUAUGUAGAGUAUUAAUAUCAAAUGUGUGUAUGUAAGCCUUGUGGAGAGCAAGUGUGUUACUAUAUUGCAUUUAAACAUUACCUGCUGAAUUUAAACAUGUGUGUGACAAUCUAUUCUUUGAAGGGUUUGCAGAAAGAUGUCAGGGAUUGAAGAGCUGAUCCUUCACAGGUUCAGUGUGUCCUCUUAGCAUCCAUGGUGACCGUCACCUGUCAUGGCCUCCUCAUCCAUCCUGUUCACACACACCCUCUUGGUCCAACACAAACACAAACACACACACACACACACACACACACACACACACCCAACCUGAGAUCAGACAAAGCUAUCUGCCCCAACACAAACCUUACAGGAUUAAUCAGCCUAACAUACAUGUUGAUAAUGUUUUUGUACACAUUUGAUUUUAAUUUAAGCCUUUCUUAACAUGCAUGUAAUUCUCUGUAUCUGUUCUGAAUUAUUAUAUAUAAUUUCUAGUUUUUAAUCUUCCUUUUAAUGGUGAAUUUAAAGCAUGCAGAAGAUGAUACAAUCUGUAAUUUACAUGAUACAAUCUGUAAUUUCACAACAUAAUAACGCGUGUGAUUGGAGUGAUUUACAGUAUGGCAAAAAAAUAUGUGCCUAUUUAUAUCAAUAACUGACUGCAUUAAAUGGGACAUUUUUGACCAGAGACUAAACAAUUUAACUAUUAAAUGUUAAAUUAUACAGAAAGAUUUACUUGACCUAUAUUCAAUUCGAUAGGGUGAAAGAUGUAAUUUCUGAUGUAAUUUCUUUAGUUUCAAAACAGUCAUUUUUGGGCAGAACACAACAUGAGGUUGUAACAACAUGGCAUUUACCGUCUGGCUGAGCUGAUGUUCGGACCUAUCCCAACUCCCGAGUGGCACCUACUUUCAUUGGUAUUCUAGAAUCAACUGACUUACAAAACAGGGCACCGUCUGAUCUGUGCUUCUUACGGAAAAUGCUACCAAGUUAUUCACGUCAGACCCUACACCUGCUGCCUCACCUCAGACAGUACAUCUGUUAUGACGUCAGCCUGCAUCAUCAUCAUCAGAGUCAUUAGCUGUGCAAAUCACUGCUUGACCCUCUUUGGAGAUCAGAGUCAAUGACAAGUGUUUUCAUGUUUUCUUUCUGAAGUCAUCAAGAGCCUACUGUAUGUACUCUCAAAGAUCAAGGUGAAUAUAUGGUACAGCUGUAUAAUAAAAGACUGAACACAA